GUAUGUUUGCUGCUUCAAUGAUAAGUCAGAAGAAUAUCCACAGUUAGCCUGCAAAGACAAGAACAGAACAGCUGAGGAACAACAAACCAUCGCUAGACUGAAGAACAAGUCCUGGGUUUUUGGCGUCUCUAUACUCCUCUGUUCCCUCUUUGUGGCUGCUGUAACGGCAGGUGGAUUGAGGAGAUGUUGCAACAAAAAAGUUCUGUAUUACAAACUGAUUUUGAAGGAGGAGGAAAAGGCACUGAAAGAUCAUUUGAGAUCAAAAGCAACUGAAAAGCUGACUGAAAAGUUCUGCAAAAAUAGUGACAAAAAUUGGAAAGAAUGUUUUGGUGCUGCUGAUAAGCUGAUUAAAGAAGUUGUAAAGGCAGAAAACCAGACACAAUCUGCAGCCACCGGGAAUACUGAUGAAGAUUUAGAAAUGCAGGCCCUAUCAACAUAAUGAGCCGAGGACAUCAAAUACUGUGCAGUAACAAGCAGCAUUUGAUAGUUUCAUUUCCACAACAUACUGUUGAGAAAUGUUGGAUGACUAUAAUUCACCUGUACAUAUAUGAAGCUUUAAUCUGUAAUGAUGCUGUUUCUCAUUGGACACUGACUGUGGAAAAUUACCAGUUUAAAGAAAUGUUUCCAUCCUGGUUCAUGUUUUCAUGACCUUCAGCUCCCAGUUUUCUACCAGUCAGUUUAAUGCUGUGAAAAGGCUUAAUGUUCAUCAUAUUAUCAUCCAACAAUGAAAAGCUCUGAAGCUCUCUGUGAUAACUUGGUACAACAGCAACUCUGUGAACAGGAAGGUGAGAAUCUGCAGCUGUCAGUGUCUGAACAGUGAGCGCUCCCUGCUGUUUAAAAAUCUUCAUCACAGGUGAAGAACUGUCCAGGAAUUUUAAGUUAAAUGCUGUAAUACAUUUUAUAGUGGGCACAACUACACUGGUAAAAAUUCAAAGUUGAUAUUUCUACCAUUACGU